AAAUGUUCUGCUAUCUGGUUGCGGCAUCUGUCACCCCAUUGAUCACCAGGGUUGAUUCGGCUGAUCGGACUGGCUAGGCGGGUGUCCCCUUCCUCCCUCAAUGCUCUACGUGCAUCCCUCCCGAAGCUGCACGCUCGGUCGGAGAGGAUGACCUUCCCUGAUGGAGGACGACUGGUCUUCAAUCAAGGGUGUAUGAGUAGCUGUCCUCCCCUGUUAGAACCUUCAAACAAGCUCUCAAGUGUUCUGCUUUAAGCUUUGAAGUGUAAUACAUUUAUUAAGUAUGCAAGUGGAAAUGUCAAGUAAGCAGCUGCAGCAGCUGGAUUAGAU
rnacentral:snRNA from 1 species